UUUUCGAAUCGAAGACACGUGAUUCAUUUGGAAUGAAAUGCCUGCCGAUAAUCGGGAAUCGAUGCUGGCGAGGAUGAGCUCCGGUGAACAAGUUAUCGGGCUAGUUAAAAUGUGAUUUAUCGGCUGCAGGGUUACACUGAAUAGAGGAUAUAUCUGAAGGAAAUGAAAUGUUGGGGCCCCUUUCGAGAACUAGAAUUAAGGAGAUAUUGAAUGGUUAAACGUUCUGGAAGAGCCUGCAACCUCUUAACACAAAAGGGAAAUACCUAGUUCAAUGAGUGAUUGACUGCUUCAAAUGUUUAUGUUAAGCACUCACUAAGCCAUAAUGUAUAAAUAUUAUAGUUUGUAUUGUUUUCUUUUCAUUCUCUCUUCGAAGUGUAGUCGUCUUCAGUUGUUUCUGAUAAUUUUGUGAUAAUGUCUGAUAACACGUUUCCUCUAUAUGCGUCCUUUUUCAAUCUUUCAUUCAUUCAUCUACACAACUUAUAUGUCAAAUUUACUUCAGUGGCACAUUACGGAUUUAUGUAUUUUAGAAAAUUAUACGUUAUGGAUUUAUGUAUUUUUCUUGUUCCUUUGGUAAAGUGAACGUUUUUAUACUGAAUAAAACAGAAUAAAAUGGGACACAGAUGAUUUGAUCAAUUUCAUAUCAAGGAGAUCUUGAAUAAGAAAAGAGAAUUUUCAUAAUUUUUAAAACAGAAAUUUCUCAUUUUGGUUUAAACGUAACCCAGUGAUAUUGAUUAAAUAUUAAAAACUGUACAACUGUAGUGAUUACUUUUGAAUAAUUGAGAUCAUGUGUAUUCUUUAUUCGUCCACGAAUCUCUUUGUUACCAGGCUAAAUGAAAGACAUGCCAUAUUAAAUCUUGCUGAAAACUAAAAAAGGAAAGGAUGAAAAAUGGUAACAAACGGACAACGUGAAAGUUGGCACGCGCGAUGACCGUCCAUGCGUAAGUCAACUGAGGGUAUAAUGCAGAUAAAUUGCUCCAUGGAGAACGAUCGAGAGGGGCAGCACGGCGAAAAAAAGAGACGAAAGAUGAGCUAAGGAGGAGAGAAACUGCGCACGAGCGACACAGGCGGGGGUGACCCCCUUCGACCCUCGUCUCGGCUAUUAUUUGUUACCAUCAGUAGAUCGCAUAGGGGUGUUUUAAUAUGGACCCGACGCGGCGCCCAGACCAAAGAUUUGCGCGUAACUGUGCAAACAGCAGGAGAUCCCCGGCCACGGACCCGUGAAACUAGCAACGGGAAGAUAAUAUCAGUGGUGAGAGUUUCCAGAGAUACCGUUGCGAAUCCAUUUUGAUCGCUUCGAAGUUCCGAUGAAAAGAUCCAUCUUGACCAUUGGCCACGAUCUUCAAUGAUAUUUGGACAACUUCAGUCGGCUAUAGUUUAGUCAAAGGAAUGUUAGAUUUUAGGUUUGUGUGAAAGGUAAUUUUUAAGGUUAGGAAAUAGUGUUUGGUUUUUGAAUCAAUAAAUUAUCACUCCACAGACACAUUAAUUAAAGAGAAAUGAAGUUACAAUAUCUAUAAAAAACAAAAUAUAACUGUGAAAGUAUACAUGUAUUAAGAAUUUCAUUUCUUUCGAUUAUUGUUUAAGGUACAACUAUUUCGACAAUUUCACUUUGGGUAAAUAAAAUAAAAGGUUCACACUGCAUAUAUGUAAAAACACAUUAAUAUUAAUAUCGUUAUAUAUGGUAUAAAUAUAACACAUUAAUAUCGUGCACGAUGCUGCAAGAUUCCGUAAUGUGCCACAACCGAUCUGGCUUCUGCCUCGUUCCGCCUGUGGCGCCUCGCUCGGUGAUCUAUUAAUUUAAAAUGCGUGUACAUUUCAACAAUAUGAGCAAAUUAAAGAAUAAUCCCUGAUCUGUAAUAUAAUAAGGCGAGUAAUUUAAUUUAAUUUAAUUUUGUUUUCUUAGUUGCGAACUUUUUUUGGAAGUAGGUACUGUUACAUUAGCGAAACAUAGAUUUUAAAAAUAAGUUAAUAGUUUUAGUCCAAAAUUUUAACUUAAAACAGAAGAUUAUAAAACAUGAAUGAUAUUUAAACGAUACAUAUAAAAAAGUAGAUGAAAUAAAGUGAAACAUAUUAAUAAGAAUUUAAUUAAAAUUUAUUUCAACUAUUUUCAACAUGAAAAAUGUACGAAUCGUUCUUCUCAGUGUCAAUGAUUGCCAACCCGAUUUAACGCACAAAGAGUUUUUGCAAUUUUCGCAUAGGUACUAAUUAAACUAAUAUGUUCUACGAAUUUGUUUGAUUUCUUCUUUUGCAGAUACAUUGUUUGAUUCACAUUGUGGCUGCCGACAUACGAUUUGAAAAAUUUUUACGUCGAACCGUAAAUAAACAGCUUGUUUGAGACUGAGAAAUUUACUAUUCUUUAAUUUGUAUACAUACAUGCUAUGAACAUUUAUAUCCAAUCGUUACUUAACAAUCCAGUGAAAAGGAAAUAACGAAACAGCAAACACAGAAGAAACAAUUGUAACUAAAUAAAUCUCAAAAGGAUUGAAAAAUUGCAAUUCUUUAAUUUCUAUACGAACAAUGUCUAUACAUAGCUUGUUUAUGAACAUUUAUAUGUAAUCGUUACCUAACAAUCUAGUAAAAAGAAAGGGGCCUAGAAA